AGAUAGCCCAGAUGGAAGCGGUAUCCUUUAUGUUUUUCUUUAAAAACAUAAAGAUAUAGCAGAGAGCUGGAAAAAGC
rnacentral:sRNA from 1 species